rnacentral:rRNA from 1 species
GUCGACGAGAGAAGAUUGGUGCUUGCACUGAUCCGAUCGAGUGGCGGACGGGUGAGUAACGCGUGGGUAACCUGCCUCAUACAGGGGAAUAACAGUUGGAAACGGCUGCUAAAACCGCAUAAGCGCACGGUAUCGCAUGAUACAGUGUGAAAAGCUCCGGUGGUAUGAGAUGGACCCGCGUCUGAUUAGCUAGUUGGUGAGGUAACGGCCCACCAAGGCAACGAUCAGUAGCCGGCCUGAGAGGGUGAACGGCCACAUUGGGACUGAGACACGGCCCAAACUCCUACGGGAGGCAGCAGUGGGGAAUAUUGCACAAUGGGGGAAACCCUGAUGCAGCGACGCCGCGUGAGUGAUGAAGUAUUUCGGUAUGUAAAGCUCUAUCAGCAGGGAAGAUAAUGACGGUACCUGACUAAGAAGCACCGGCUAAAUACGUGCCAGCAGCCGCGGUAAUACGUAUGGUGCAAGCGUUAUCCGGAUUUACUGGGUGUAAAGGGUGCGUAGGUGGUGAGACAAGUCUGAAGUGAAAAUCCGGGGCUUAACCCCGGAACUGCUUUGGAAACUGCCUGACUAGAGUACAGGAGAGGUAAGUGGAAUUCCUAGUGUAGCGGUGAAAUGCGUAGAUAUUAGGAGGAACACCAGUGGCGAAGGCGACUUACUGGACUGCUACUGACACUGAGGCACGAAAGCGU